GUGCGCCGCCCUCCUUGGGCGUUUCCUCCCUAGACUCAAGGCCGUCCAAGAGGCGGCCUUCUUUUUAUUCAGC
rnacentral:sRNA from 1 species